GAUGAACGCUGGCGGCGUGCCUAAUACAUGCAAGUCGAGCGAACGGACGAGAAGCUUGCCUCUCUGAUGUUAGCGGCGGACGGGUGAGUAACACGUGGAUAACCUACCUAUAAGACUGGGAUCACUUCGGGAAACCGGAGCUAAUACCGGAUAAUAUUUUGAACCGCAUGGUUCAAAAGUAAAAGACGGUCUUGCUGUCACUUAUAGAUGGAUCCGCGCUGCAUUAGCUAGUUGGUAAGGUAACGGCUUACCAAGGCAACGAUGCAUAGCCGACCUGAGAGGGUGAUCGGCCACACUGGAACUGAGACACGGUCCAGACGCCUACGAGAGGCAGCAGUAGGGAAUCUUCCGCAAUGGGCGAAAGCCUGACGGAGCAACGCCGCGUGAGUGAUGAAGGUCUUCGGAGCGUAAAACUCUGUUAUUAGGGAAGAACAUAUGUGUAAGUAACUGUGCACAUCUUGACGGUACCUAAUCAGAAAGCCACGGCUAACUACGUG
rnacentral:rRNA from 1 species